UUCUUGGGUGACGAGCGGCGGACGGGUGAGUAAUGCAUAGGAAUCUGCCCGAUAGUGGGGGAUAACCUGGGGAAACCCAGGCUAAUACCGCAUACGUCCUACGGGAGAAAGGGGGCUCCGGCUCCCGCUAUGGGAUGAGCCUAUGUCGGAUUAGCUAGUUGGUGAGGUAACGGCUCACCAAGGCAACGAUCCGUAGCUGGUCUGAGAGGAUGAUCAGUCACAUCGGGACUGAGACACGGCCCGAACUCCUACGGGAGGCAGCAGUGGGGAAUAUUGGACAAUGGGCGCAAGCCUGAUCCAGCCAUGCCGCGUGUGUGAAGAAGGCCCUCGGGUUGUAAAGCACUUUCAGCGAGGAAGAACGCCUAGCGGUUAAUACCCGCUAGGAAAGACAUCACUCGCAGAAGAAGCACCGGCUAACUCCGUGCCAGCAGCCGCGGUAAUACGGAGGGUGCAAGCGUUAAUCGGAAUUACUGGGCGUAAAGCGCGCGUAGGUGGCUUGAUAAGCCGGUUGUGAAAGCCCCGGGCUCAACCUGGGAACGGCAUCCGGAACUGUCAAGCUAGAGUGCAGGAGAGGAAGGUAGAAUUCCCGGUGUAGCGGUG
rnacentral:rRNA from 1 species